CCUACGGGAGGCAGCAGUGAGGAAUAGUGGUCAAUGGACGCAAGUCUGAACCAGCCAUGCCGCGUGCAGGAAGACGGCGCUAUGAGUUGUAAACUGCUUUUGUACGAGGGUAAACGCAGAUACGCGUAUCUGUCUGAAAGGAUCGUACGAAUAAGGAUAGGCUAACGCCGUGCCAGCAUCCGCGGUAAUACGGAGGAUUCAAGCGUUAUCCGGAUUUAGUGGGUUGAAAGGGUGCGUAGGCGGUCGGAUAAGUUAGAGGUGAAAUCCCGAGGCUCAACUUCGGAAUUGCCUCUGAUACUGUUCGGCUAGUGCGUAGUUGCGGUAGGCGGAAUGUCUGUUGUAGCCGU
rnacentral:rRNA from 1 species